rnacentral:rRNA from 1 species
UACGGAGGGUGCAAGCGUUAUCCGGAUUCACUGGGUUUAAAGGGUGCGUAGGUGGGUCUGUAAGUCCGUGGUGAAAUCUCUAGGCUUAACCUGGAAACUGCCAUGGAUACUAUAGGUCUUGAAUACUGUGGAGGUCAGCGGAAUAUGUCAUGUAGCGGUGAAAUGCUUAGAUAUGACAUAGAACACCAAUUGCGAAGGCAGCUGGCUACACAAAUAUUGACACUGAGGCACGAAAGCGUGGGGAUCAGACAGG